GAGGGUAUAGCUCAGAGGUAGAGUGUGUGCUUGGCAUGCACGAGGUCCUGGGUUCAAUCCCCAGUACCUCUA
rnacentral:tRNA from 1 species